AGAACGAACGCUGGCGGCGUGCUUAACACAUGCAAGUCGAACGCGAAAGUUUUCUUCGGAAAGCGAGUAGAGUGGCGCACGGGUGAGUAACGCGUAAGUAAUCUACCCUGGUAUCUGGGAUAACCCACCGAAAGGUGUGCUAAUACCGGAUACGCUGAUUUAUCAGGAAAGGUGGCCUCUUCAUGAAAGCUACUGUACCAGGAGGAGCUUGCGUACCAUUAGCUAGUUGGUAGGGUAAUGGCCUACCAAGGCGACGAUGGUUAGCGGGUCUGAGAGGAUGAUCCGCCACACUGGAACUGGAACACGGACCAGACUCCUACGGGAGGCAGCAGUGAGGAAUAUUGCGCAAUGGGGGAAACCCUGACGCAGCGACGCCGCGUGGAUGAUGAAGGCCUUCGGGUCGUAAAAUCCUGUCAGAUGGAAAGAAAUGUAUAGAGGUUAAUAUCCUUUAUAUUUGACGGUACCAUCAAAGGAAGCACCGGCUAACUCCGUGCCAGCAGCCGCGGUAAUACGGAGGGUGCAAGCGUUGUUCGGAAUUACUGGGCGUAAAGCGCGCGUAGGCGGCUUUUUAAGUCAGAUGUGAAAGUCCACGGCUCAACCGUGGAAGUGCAUUUGAAACUGGGGAGCUUGAGUACUGGAGGGGGUGGUGGAAUUCCCGGUGUAGAGGUGAAAUUCGUAGAUAUCGGGAGGAAUACCGGUGGCGAAGGCGACCACCUGGCCAGAUACUGACGCUGAGGUGCGAAAGCGUGGGGAGCAAACAGGAUUAGAUACCCUGGUAGUCCACGCCGUAAACGAUGUCAACUAGGUGUUGGGGAGGUUAAUCUUCUCAUUGCCGCAGCUAACGCAUUAAGUUGACCGCCUGGGGAGUACGGUCGCAAGAUUA
rnacentral:rRNA from 1 species